rnacentral:rRNA from 1 species
AGCAGCCGCGGUAAUUCCAGCUCCAAUAGCGUAUAUUAAAGUUGUUGCAGUUAAAAAGCUCGUAGUUGAAUUUCGGGGUUAGUAGGUUGGUCAUGCCUCUGGUAUGUACUGGUCUCACUGAUUCCUCCUUCCUGAUGAGCCGUAAUGCCAUUAAUUUGGUGUUGCGGGGAAUUUGGACUGUUACUUUGAAAAAUUGAGUGUUUAAAGCAAGCUAACGCUUGAAUACAUUAGCAUGGAAUAAUGAAAUAGGACGUUCGAUCCUAUUUUGUUGGUUUCUAGGAUUGACGUAAUGAUUAAUAGGGAUAGUUGGGGGCAUUAGUAUUCAAUUGUCAGAGGCGAAAUUCUUGGAUUUAUUGAAGACUAACUACUGCGAAAGCAUUUGCCAAGGAUGUUUUCAUUAAUCAAGAACGAAAGUUAGGGGAUCGAAGACGAUCAGAUACCGUCGUAGUCUUAACCAUAAACUAUGCCGACUAGGGAUCGGAUGAUGUUAAUUUUAAUGACUCAUUCGGCGCCUUAAC